rnacentral:rRNA from 1 species
CCGGGGUAGAGAAUACCAAGGCGCUUGAGAGAACUCGGGUGAAGGAACUAGGCAAAAUGGCACCGUAACUUCGGGAGAAGGUGCGCCGGUGAGGGUGAAGCAUUUACUGCGUAAGCCCACGCCGGUCGAAGAUACCAGGCCGCUGCGACUGUUUAUUAAAAACACAGCACUCUGCAAACACGAAAGUGGACGUAUAGGGUGUGACGCCUCCCCGGUGCCGGAAGGUUAAUUGAUGGGGUUAGCUAACGCGAAGCUCUUGAUCGAAGCCCCGGUAAACGGCGGCCGUAACGAUAACGGUCCUAAGGUAGCGAAAUUCCUUGUCGGGUAAGUUCCGACCUGCACGAAUGGCGUAACGAUGGCGGCGCUGUCUCCACCCGAGACUCAGUGAAAUUGAAAUCGCUGUGAAGAUGCAGUGUAUCCGCGGCUAGACGGAAAGACCCCGUGAACCUUUACUAUAGCUUUGCACUGGACUUUGUAUUUGCUUGUGUAGGAUAGGUGGGAGGCUUUGAAGCGUGGACGCCAGUCUGCGUGGAGCCAACCUUGAAAUACCACCCUGGCAACUUUGAGGUUCUAACUCAGGUCCGUUAUCCGGAUCGAGGACAGUGUAUGGUGGGUAGUUUGACUGGGGCGGUCUCCUCCUAAAGAGUAACGGAGGAGUACGAAGGUGCGCUCAGACCGGUCGGAAAUCGGUCGUAGAGUAUAAAGGCAAAAGCGCGCUUGACUGCGAGACAGACACGUCGAGCAGGUACGAAAGUAGGUCUUAGUGAUCCGGUGGUUCUGUAUGGAAGGGCCAUCGCUCAACGGAUAAAAGGUACUCCGGAUAACAGGCUGAUACCGCCCAAGAGUUCAUAUCGACGGCGGUGUUUGGCACCUCGAUGUCGGCUCAUCACGUCCUGGGGCUGAAGCCGGUCCCAAGGGUAUGGCUGUUCGCCAUUUAAAGUGGUACGCGAGCUGGGUUUAGAACGUCGUGAGACAGUUCGGUCCCUAUCUGCCGUGGACGUUUGAGAUUUGAGAGGGGCUGCUCCUAGUACGAGAGGACCGGAGUGGACGAACCUCUGGUGUUCCGGUUGUCACGCCAGUGGCAUUGCCGGGUAGCUAUGUUCGGAAUAGAUAACCGCUGAAAGCAUCUAAGCGGGAAACUAGCCUCAAGAUGAGAUCUCACUGGAACCUUGAGUUCCCUGAAGGGCCGUCGAAGACUACGACGUUGAUAGGUGGGGUGUGUAAGCGCUGUGAGGCGUUGAGCUAACCCAUACUAAUUGCCCGUGAGGCUUGACCC